AUCAACUGGAAGCCCCAUUGCCCUGGACCAGGCACCCGGUCAGGUCAUGUGGUCUUUGAUUCCCGCCAGAAACCGUUAGUAACUGGCAGGGAAAAGUGUGAAGCUCUAACUUCCAGGCGUUUUCGUCAAGAGACACCCAGAAACUCAGAGGAGACCCAGAAGGAGUGGGGAUAUGAAAAUGUGAUGAGGACCUUGAACAAAGAUGGGACAAAUACUCAUCGGGAAUAAAGAGACAAGAGAAA
rnacentral:lncRNA from 1 species